GAUGGACCCGCGUCUGAUUAGCCAGUUGGUGGGGUAACGGCCUACCAAAGCAACGAUCAGUAGCCGACCUGAGAGGGUGACCGGCCACAUUGGGACUGAGACACGGCCCAAACUCCUACGGGAGGCAGCAUG
rnacentral:rRNA from 1 species